rnacentral:sRNA from 1 species
GCGGAAGGAUCAUUAAAGAAUCGCCCCGUUUUUUGAAAUGGGUUCUAUUCCCAAACCGUGUAUACAUACCUUUGUUGCUUUGGCAGGCCGCCUUUUAGGCGUCGGCUCCGGCUGACUGCGCCUGCCAGAGGACCCAAACUCGUUUGUUUAGUGAUGUCUGAGUACUAUAUAAUAGUUAAAACUUUCAACAACGGAUCUCUUGGUUCUGGCAUCGAUGAAGAACGCAGCGAAAUGCGAUAAGUAAUGUGAAUUGCAGAAUUCAGUGAAUCAUCGAAUCUUUGAACGCACAUUGCGCCCCUUGGUAUUCCGAGGGGCAUGCCUGUUCGAGCGUCAUUACAACCACUCAAGCCUUGGCUUGGUCUUGGGGUUCGCGGUCUCGCGGCCCUUAAAAUUAGUGGCGGUGCCGUCUGGCUCUAAGCGUAGUAAUUCUCUCGCUAUAGAGUCCCGGUGGUUACCUGCCAGAACCCCCCAUUUUUUACGGUUGACCUCGGAUCAGGUAGGGAUACCCGCUGAACUUAAGCAUAU